UACGUAGGGGGCAAGCGUUGUUCGGAAUUACUGGGCGUAAAGGGCGCGUAGGCGGCACAGCAAGUCGGGAGUGAAAGCCCGGGGCUCAACCCCGGAACUGCUUUCGAAACUGCUGAGCUAGAGUACAGAAGGGGCAACCGGAAUUCCCAGUGUAGCGGUGAAAUGCGUAGAUAUUGGGAAGAACACCUGAGGCGAAGGCGGGUUGCUGGGCUGAUACUGACGCUGAGGCGCGAAAGCCAGGGGAGCAAACGGGA
rnacentral:rRNA from 1 species